UUACACAGGGGGAUAACACUUAGAAAUAGGUGCUAAAACCGCAUAAGCGCACAGAUUCGCAUGAAGCGGUGUGAAAAACUCCGGUGGUGUAGGAUGGACCCGCGUCUGAUUAGCUUGUUGGCGGGGUAACGGCCCACCAAGGCGACGAUCAGUAGCCGGCCUGAGAGGGCGGACGGCCACAUUGGGACUGAGACACGGCCCAGACUCCUACGGGAGGCAGCAGUGGGGAAUAUUGCACAAUGGGGGAAACCCUGAUGCAGCGACGCCGCGUGAGUGAAGAAGUAAUUCGUUACGUAAAGCU
rnacentral:rRNA from 1 species